GUUUUUCUUUUUUUUUUAAUAUUUUAGCUUCCAGGGUUCUUGCAUCAUUGACAACCUCAUCUUCAGGCCAGAUGUGAACUGCUCGCUCGCUCACUCGCUCGCUCGCUCACUCGUUCAGCAUGAAAUUCCAGAGGCAAAACCACUUCCGUUUCCUUGAGAGCUUGUUUUUCCUUUCUCUACUUGAAAUGCUGAUGGCACUUACCAAUGAAGCACUGCUGUGUAAAUAAUUAAAAGAAAAAAAAUGAGCCAAUAGUGUUCCUGUAAUCCAGAGCGUGUUAGUUGCAUUUUCUGUAACACAACACUAAAACAAUUGACCUACACAUUUGGGCUUGCCGUUUUUGGUAGUUUUACAUGAGCAGCCACUGUUUGGGGUCUGUGGUGACAUGUGAUAUUAUGGUGGGAGUGUGAACGUGGGGACAGCUGUCCCCACUGUGACCCAGGAAGUACAAAAUGAAUAAGGGAAUAGAUAUCACAGUUCCUUAAAAGGACAACUGUAAUGACUCAAAGCCUCCCCAGUAGGCCCCACGCUUAGACGCUCGCUCCUCUGUCUCCCAGCAGAGCCACCCUGGGAAACAAUCUUAAUGCAGUGGCCUCUGAGAGAUAGCCAACACCCUAACUGUAGCACAGAGGCUGGUUCCCGACUUCACACAAUUAUGCUUGCCCUCAUCACUGUCUCUUUAUACCUUGUAGGUUUACUUCAGAAUGAGGUUUCCCAAAGGACCUUUUUUUUUUCCACUCAGACCAGGGUUCCUGCAUCAUUGACAACCUCAUCUUCAGGCUAAAUGUCUUAGUUAGGGUUACUACUGCUAUGCUGAGACACCAUGAGCAAAAGCAAGUUGGAGAGAAAAUGGUUUAUUUGGCUUGUGCUUUCACAUCAUAGUCCAUCAGUGAAAGGAGUCAGGACAGGAAGUCAAGGAGAGCAAGAACCUAAAGACAGGAGUUGAUGCAGAGGGCAUGGAGGGGUGCUGCUUAUUGGAUUGCUCCCUAUGGCUUACUCGGGUUUUUUUUAAUGGAACCCAGAACCCCAGACCAGGGGUGGCACUUCCCACAAUAGGCAGGACCUUCCCCCAUCAAUCACUAAUUAAGAAAAUGCCCUACAGGUUUGCCUACAGCCAGAUCUUAUGGAAGUGUUUUCUCAACUUAGGUUCCGUCCUCUCAGAUGACCCUAGCUUGUAUGGAGUUGACAUAAAACGAGCCAGCACAAUUGUGGAAAGAUAUU
rnacentral:lncRNA from 1 species